rnacentral:rRNA from 1 species
AUUGAUCCGGCUCAGGACGAACGCUGGCGGCGUGCCUAACACAUGCAAGUCGAGCGAUGAAAUCCCUUCGGGGAUGGAUUAGCGGCGGACGGGUGAGUAACACGUGGGUAACCUGCCUCAAAGAGGGGGAUAGCCUCCCGAAAGGGAGAUUAAUACCGCAUAAUAUUAGUUUUUCGCAUGAAGAACUAAUUAAAGGAGUAAUCCGCUUUGAGAUGGACCCGCGGCGCAUUAGCUAGUUGGUGAGGUAACGGCUCACCAAGGCGACGAUGCGUAGCCGACCUGAGAGGGUGAUCGGCCACAUUGGAACUGAGACACGGUCCAGACUCCUACGGGAGGCAGCAGUGGGGAAUAUUGCACAAUGGGCGAAAGCCUGAUGCAGCAACGCCGCGUGAGUGAUGAAGGCCUUCGGGUUGUAAAGCUCUGUCUUUGGGGACGAUAAUGACGGUACCCAAGGAGGAAGCCACGGCUAACUACGUGCCAGCAGCCGCGGUAAUACGUAGGUGGCAAGCGUUGUCCGGAUUUACUGGGCGUAAAGGAUGCGUAGGCGGAUAUUUAAGUGAGAUGUGAAAUUCCCGGGCUUAACUUGGGAGCUGCAUUUCAAACUGGAUAUCUAGAGUGCGGGAGAGGAGAAUGGAAUUCCUAGUGUAGCGGUGAAAUGCGUAGAGAUUAGGAAGAACACCAGUGGCGAAGGCGAUUCUCUGGACCGUAACUGACGCUGAGGCAUGAAAGCGUGGGUAGCAAACAGGAUUAGAUACCCUGGUAGUCCACGCCGUAAACGAUGAGUACUAGGUGUAGGAGGGUCCAACCUUCUGUGCCGCAGUUAACACAAUAAAUACUCCGCCUGGGAAGUACGAUCGCAAGAUUAAAACUCAAAGGAAUUGACGGGGGCCCGCACAAGCAGCGGAGCAUGUGGUUUAAUUCGAAGCAACGCGGAGAACCUUACCUGGACUUGACAUCCCCUGAAUAGUGCAGAGAUACAUGAAGCCCUUCGGGGCAGGGAAACAGGUGGUUGCAUGGUUGUCGUCACCUCCUGUCGUGGAAAUGUUAGGUUUAAUUCCUGCAACGAAGGGCAACCCCCAU